rnacentral:rRNA from 1 species
GCCCAGACUCCUACGGGAGGCAGCAGUGAGGAAUAUUGGUCAAUGGCCGAGAGGCUGAACCAGCCAAGUCGCGUGAGGGAAGAAUGUCCUAUGGAUUGUAAACCUCUUUUGUCAGGGAGCAAAGUCACCCACGUGUGGGUGUUGGAGAGUGCCUGAAGAAAAAGCAUCGGCUAACUCCGUGCCAGCAGCCGCGGUAAUACGGAGGAUGCGAGCGUUAUCCGGAUUUAUUGGGUUUAAAGGGUGCGCAGGCGGCUGGUUAGGCCGGGGGUAAAGGCCGGGGGUCCCCCCCGGGCGAGCCGUUGAAACUGGCGGGCUGGAGUUGGAGAGAAGUACGCGGAAUGCGCGGUGUAGCGGUGAAAUGCUUAGAUAUCGCGCAGAACCCCGAUUGCGAAGGCAGCGUACCGGCUCCACACUGACGCUGAGGCACGAAAGCGUGGGUAUCGAACAGGAUUAGAUACCCUAGUAUUA